UACGUAGGGACCAAGCGUUGUUCGGAUUUACUGGGCGUAAAGGGCGCGUAGGCGGCGCGGUAAGUCACUUGUGAAAUCUCUGAGCUUAACUCAGAACGGCCAAGUGAUACUGCAGUGCUAGAGUGUGGAAGGGGCAAUCGGAACUCUUGGUGUAGCGGUGAAAUGCGUAGAUAUCAAGAGGAACACCUGAGGUGAAGACGGGUUGCUGGGCCAACACUGACGCUGAUGCGCGAAAGCCAGGGGAGCAAACGGG
rnacentral:rRNA from 1 species